UUUUCCCAAAGCGGCGGACAGAGAGAGGGAGAGAGAGAGACAGAGACAGAGAGGGCAGGAGGAAAACGCUCUGUUCGUCCCCUCCGCCACCACCACCCCGAUUUGCGGAGAGGGGUCGGGCCAAGCGGCGGCGGGAUCAGCCCCUUCCCCCCCCCUCCCCAACCCGGGGAGGCGACCCCGGCUCGGGGAGCCGCCGGAGGCAGCCGCCGCGAAGAGGGGGCGCAGGAAAAGAGAUGCAUUGAAACUUUCCGCCCAAACUUUGGCGUGAGUGCGGGAAACCGAGCGAGCGAGCGCGGCGCGGGGUGCCUGCCUGCCCCGGCGCGGGGAGAGCGGCCGCGGACGGGCGCCGCUGUGGAGCUCGGACUGCCCGGCGGCGGGGGCCGGGCGGCGGCGGCGGGGCGGCCGCGGAGCCAGCGCUCGGCCCGGCGGAGCGCCCACCGAAAGCAGCAGCGGGGGCCGGCGGAGAGCCGGGCUUAUGGAGGGGUGAAACCGGAGACCCCGAAGAGGAACCCCACUUCCCCCGGAGCUCCUCGCAGCGCCCGGCCGGCGGCACCCCAGGAGGCGGCGGCGGGCACGGAGGAGGCGCGGGCGAGAGCGCGGCGGGGCGGCGGCGGCGGGGCGGCGGCGGCGAGGCGGAGCGCGGCGGGCCCCGCUCCGCGGCGUGCGCCGGCAACCAUGAACUUUCUGCUCACUUGGAUCCACUGGGGGCUGGCGGCGCUGCUCUAUCUGCAGAGCGCGGAGUUGUCGAAGGCUGCUCCUGCCCUGGGGGAUGGGGAGCGGAAACCCAAUGAAGUUAUCAAAUUCCUGGAAGUCUACGAGCGCAGCUUCUGCAGGACAAUUGAGACCCUGGUGGACAUUUUCCAGGAAUACCCUGAUGAGGUGGAGUACAUAUUCAAGCCAUCCUGUGUGCCUCUGAUGAGAUGUGCGGGUUGCUGCGGCGAUGAGGGCCUAGAAUGUGUCCCCGUGGAUGUGUACAACGUCACGAUGGAGAUCAUGAGAAUUAAACCCCAUCAGAGUCAGCACAUAGCGCACAUGAGCUUCUUACAGCACAGUAAAUGUGACUGCAGACCAAAGAAAGAUGUCAAAAACAAACAAGAAAAGUGGGCACAGAAACCCAGAUCUGAUGGUCCUUCCUUCAUACCCCAGACCUGGAGCUUGCAUGACCCACGGCCGUGGCAGUCAUUCCUAAUGCUUUAUCCCGAGUCAGGGAAGUCCCGUCGUGUGUGUCCUACCAGAAUGGAUUCAAGGUGCAGCCCCCGUUCUCCCUUCCCUCUUCCUGGGGUGUUUCUGGUUACUGCAAAUCGCUGCCUUUCUUUAAUAUUAAUUUUUUUCUUGCUGCUUGAGUGAGUACUUGCUGGCUUCUUUCACAGCAGCCUGGGUAGGAACUCUGCUGGCUACAGGGAGAGGUGGCAAUAGAGGCCUGGUGGAGGCAGGACUGAUGCCAUGCAGGAUGUGACGCUGGUUGUGGUUGGGCGGGGGCCUGGGAGGGUGUCAAGGGAGAUGGAUGUCCUAGCCGGGUCUUGGUGGAGGCUUUCAUGAGAGUUUUUUUUCAAUCUGAUGGAUUUUCUCUGGUGACCUGAAGGACGUUAAGGCACAACCUUCCCUUUCCUUCCUCCCCAAAGUAAAAAGGUUGUGGAAGGUAGAGAAAUAAACUCUCGUCCUGCAGUAGCCGCAGGGACGAUCACAAAACGUGGAACAACAUCGAAAAAAAAAAGAGUGACCUCUCUGGGCGAGAGGGUCAGCUGGACUGCACAUGGCUGGGAUAGCGACUCUGCCAUUUAGAGGUGCGGAGUUGGAGAGGAAUGGGGUGAAUAUUGGGAGAUGAGGCUGAAACAGAGAGAGAGAGAGCAAGCGGGAGAGUGAGAGAAAUUCUUUCAGCCCUCUCCUGGUGGUUGUAUAUUUCUAGCUGCCUUCCAGCCUCUCCUCCUUCCCCUGGAAAUCUGCUCCUGGCUGCAUCGGGCUGCGUGCAGCCAGCCCUCCUCUCUGUGCAGGGCGGUGUCGGGGAUGGUUGGUCUGCGUGGCUCUGUGGUUUGAAGGUGUGCGAGAGUUGGGUCUGUUUGAACUCUGGUGAGGAUGGGGUGUGGGUGAAGCAGCCAGCCCGGACUGCUUUGCAUUCCCUUUUCUCUUCUAACAGCACCUUGCCUGCUUUUUGCUGGUUCUGCACUCCCCGGGGAAGGAAGGGAAGGGAUGGGAGAGAUUGGUGUGCUUUGAUUUGUGCUGGAUUGAAAGUCCUGUUAUAUUGGUGCCCCUCUCCUCCCUUCAGGUCGAUUUUCCUCCCCUCACCGCCUCUCUGUGACUCCUGGCAUGUAGGGCAGAGGCUGGGAGCGAGCUGAUGCUCUGACACUCGUUCCAGUGAGACGACUUGAACAGGGCCUAAGAAACACCUAUGGUGCUUUCCCUUCUGUCCCCCCAUGUCCCCUCGACAGCUCCCUCCCGAGGUGGGCUGCACCAGGGAAGGAGGGAGCCCUUGCUGAACUGCCGCAGUGCUGGGGCUCACUCGCCUGACCAGCCCUGGUGCUUUGCCUAGGGCCUUCUUGCAUGUCUCUCCCUUGGUCCUGUGCUAAUGUGGCUCAAGGAGCAGCGCAGGCUCCAGCCUCCCUCCGUCCCUGUGCUCUCACUGGGCUGUAGGGAUCCACGGUUAGUUCCAGGCCUGCGCGUCCUAGCCCCUGCCUGUCCCAGCUCCUGCCCAAGAGUCAGGAGCAACUGGUGAAUUUUUCAGAAGAGAGUCAGUGCCUUGGCUCCGUCCACUCAUCUGUCUGGCAGAUCCCUGUGGAAGGUGAGGGGAGGGAGGGAAAGGAGGGAAGAUCCUAAAGCUGCUUGCUGGUUAUCUCCUGGGUGUCAUAACUAGGUCAGGCCUCCCUCCUUCCCCUUCGGCACUCAGGAAGGAGGCUGCCAGAGGGGAUGUUAGCAGACAUCCAGCGAGGUCUCCUGGAGUCCUGCGAACCACAGGCAGGAGGUGGGGUGGGCAAGCAGAGCCUUUGGGCUAGAUAGCCCUCUCCCACACAGCACUGCUGCGUAGACCAGGUCUCUCCCCUUUUCUGUGGGGUGCUGAGGCCAGGCCCCCUUAGCUCCCAUCCUAAGGCAGGAUUAUCACUGGCUGCCCUGCAGCAGAGCUGUUGGAGCGUGGCUGCCCCCUGCUAGGCCCGGUGCCGGGCAGUGCUUCAGGUCAGAGCGGUUUCCCUUUCCCUGGGGAGAGCCCCUCCGCUCAGGUUGCCUCUUGUCAGCCAGUGUGCGUCUGCGCUUUUGUCGCCUGGAACGGUUGUCUGCACUCACUGCGGUUGCGUGAUGCUUUCACGAAGCUUUCUGUUCCUUCCCCCUCACCCCCUGUCCCUCUCCCACUGCCCCUCUGAGGCUCCAGCAGAUCCACCUCUGCUGGCAGCAGCCCUGCUGGAGGUGGUCUCUGCAGAAUCCCCUGGUGUUGGCUUGGCUGUGGGCAGGCUGGUUGCGGUGCCGGCAGGAGCUCAGGAGGGCCGGAGAACGCGUGUGCGAGGUGGAGAUCUGUGCUUCGUCCCUGGGACUUGCCCUCCAGUCCUGCCUUAUGUGCUUCCCCCCUCCCAGCAAGGCACAUGGCUGUAUUUUUUUUCCUUUUCUUCCUUGCGUUUUCUUCCGUUUUCUCUCUAUCUCUCCCUUUCUUUCCUUCUCUCUCUCUCUCUCUCUCUCUCUGUUUUUUUUGUUUUUCUUCCAGAAAAUCAAAGCGAGGAAAGGGGAAGGGUCAAAAGAGAAAGCGCAAGAAAGGCCGGUACAAACCACCCAGCUUAUGUGAAAAACCGAGACGGUGAGCAGCGGAAAAGAAGGGGGAACAGCCCUGUUUCUGGAGCCUGAUUUCUCGCCUGGACAGAAAAAAAAAACAAAACAAAACACUAAUCCAAAUGAACCCUAAAAAUGAAGGAUCGGUAGAGCACAGCACUUUCAGUACGGACGAUGGACUCCGGAAGGAACAUUCCCCAAGGCACCCGCCGCACAGAAUUCACCUUUGGGUUUUGAACUGUUUUAUUUUAUUUUUCUUUUCAUGCUGCUAAAUAACAGAGCCAGGAAGACUAUAGGGGUGUAUUUGAUGGGUUUUCUCAUGCAUACAUAUAUAUGUGUGUAUACAUGCAUAUACAUAUAUAUAUAUGUAUAUAUAUUUUAACCACAUCUAUAUAUACAUAUAUGUAUAUCUUAACCACACACACACACACAUAUAUAUAUUAUAUAUAUAUAUAUACUGAUUAUUUUUUUUAACAUUGCUAAUGUUAUUGGUGUCUUCACUGGAUAAUACUCGACUGCUGUGGACACAAGCGGGCUACUUGGGGCAUAAGAAACAAGCUAAGACUGGACUUGAGUAGAAGCGCUGGGUGUAAACUUCUUAACUCUAACUGACUUGUGCGGCCUCCGCUGUUUCUCUGUAGAGUGUGCUGUACCACAAACCACCUUCUCCUUGCCUGGGACAGGGAGGAGAGGUGAUGGAGAGGAUGGGCAGGGAGUUCCAAAGAGCGGCAUCCUAGGGUGCGAUGGGUCAAAGGCCAAGGAAAUGGCCGUCUGCGUGAUCAAGGAUUCCUCCUCCCCUCUCUUCCCCCAACCUUCGCCCUUACUCGGCUCAUAACCUGCCUGCCUUGCUGGGACAUGGGAUGUCAGUGUACAUUUUGCGUUGACUUUAUUCGCUAUAGAAACUUUGCCAGAGAGACAUGCUGGCUUCUCUUAAGGAUGGUGGGCAGCUGAUGCGCGCACUAACUUUUCCAUUCGAGGAAGUAUCACAGGAGUCUAGAUUUCCCGCCCUUGGUGGCUGCAAAAGGACACAAGGCCUACAGUGUGCUGAAGCAAGAAUGGGGACCGGUGCAUAGCCACACAGUUGUUCAGCACUGUCUGCUUUCUUCAUGCACAGAGCUGCCACUCAAGAGCAUCCAAGAUGCUUACGGAACAUUUCUGGAAAGGGAUAUUAAUCAAAAGUAUAUACACAGUAGGGGGGUGUGUGUGUGUAUGUGGAUGUGUGCAUUUGUGUCUGUGUGUAUGUAUGUUUGUGUUUUUCUCUCUUUUUUAUAUAUAUAUAUUUAUUUUUAUACAUAUAUAUAUAUAAAAAAAUAAUAUAUAUGUAUGCCAAGUUGAAGGGGGGAAAAAGAAAGCAACUUCUGCUGCCUUCAGUUUGCGUGCCCAGUGUGAAUGACCCUUAAGAAUGUCAAGACAUUUUUUUUUUUAAUAAGACGUACUGUAAAUAUCAGGCCCCUUUUCCACGUCUCGGGCUGGGGAGUCAAAUGUGAAGGCAGCUGGAAUCCCUAAGCCGUGUCUGAGAAUCUUGGCUAUGUGUGUAUCUGCAAUAUACGCUGUGGUGUAUGUGAAACCCACCUUACACACGCGCGCACACACACACCCCCCUGAAAGCGUGUUUGUACAUCUAUGUGGAUAUAUAUAAUCUAGUUCUGUGAUUAAAAUUAUUAAUAAUAAUAAUAACAAUCAAAAAGGUACUCAGUCUGUGUCAGAAUGCUGCCAAACAUCAUCUGCAAUUGAAUUUUCAACGCCUGAUAAUGUACAACACGGAAAGCUUCCAAAAAGACAAGACAGUCUAAAAACAGACUCACAACAAGCGACUACUAACCACUAGGAACUCCCCAUCCGACUGAUGGCUUUCAGAAGGAGAAAAAAAACACACGGGUGGGUGCUUGCAUCUGCAAUGUAUAAUACUCAUGCUGCAUCGUGCGCAAGACAGAGGCUUCCGAUGGGGGGGAGGGAAGAGAAAGUGUUUUAUAUACUUAUUUAAUAUCCCUUUUUAAAUUAGAAAUUAAACAGAUAAUUUAAUUAAAGAGUAGGGAUUUUUCAGUAUUCUUUGUUAAUAUUUAAUUUCAACUAUUUAUAAGCCGUACCUCCUUUUUUUUUUUUUUUUUUUUUUUAUUUGUACUGGUUGUGUAUAAAUUUAACCUUCCUGUUGUCCCGUCCCAUCUCUCCCCAAUUGUUGGCAGAGUCAGUAGCAUGUUAUGGGCAGUUAUUUAAUUAAUUUCUCUAACACCUACCCCUACACAUUCCUAUUGAGACAAGGGUUAGAUAUACAUCUACAUACUAUAUAUAUAUUUGGCUAUGUGUUUGUAUAUAUAUAUAUAUGUUUAUGUAUAUGUGUGAUUCGGAUUAAAUAGACGCUACGAUUUUUUUAUAUAUGUAAAAAGAAGAAACAGGAAAAAUAGAAAAUUCUACAUCUUGAAUCUCUCUCCUUUUUAAUUUUAAUAUUUGUUAUCAUUUUAUUUAUUGGUGCUACUGUUUAUCUGUAAUAAUUGCGGGGAAAAAAGAUAUUAACACUACAUAUUGUGUCUAGUGAAUUUUUUCAAGAUAUUCCUUAGUACAUAUUUAUUUUUAAACAAAGAAAUUACAGAUAUAUCUUAAAACGACGACGACGAGGAGAAACAAACUUUUUUUUGUAUUAAAGAAUUUAAUUCUGACCUUGA